CUAGAAGAGAGGCUUUUGAAUGUUUUCACCGUAAAGAAAUGAUAAAUGCACUGAAGCGAUGGCUACAUGAACUACCCUGACCCAAUCAUCAUACAACAUAGGUUCACUCUGGCUGCUGGACUGGAAAUAAAGGGGACAAGAUCAGAGAGGAGAGGCCAGUUUGAUGGUCUUGCAGGAGAUGAUGGUGGUGGGACAAAUCACAGCAGUGGGAGAAAUGAGGAAACAAGCAAGAGAGGAUACUGAGAUCGUGCAGCUGGAAGUGACAGUGUCGUCGUAUCAGAAUCUAGGUCUAUCAGACACUAAGAUCCAGGCUUAACCACUACUCUUCAUGACUUCA